rnacentral:rRNA from 1 species
GACGAACGCUGGCGGCGUGCUUAACACAUGCAAGUCGAACGGAAAGGCCCCCACUUUUUUGGUGGGGGUGCUCGAGUGGCGAACGGGUGAGUAACACGUGGGUGAUCUGCCCUGUACUUCGGGAUAAGCUUGGGAAACUGGGUCUAAUACCGGAUAGGACCAUGGUUUAGUGUCUCAUGGUGGAAAAAUUAUUGUUUUGGUGCAGGAUGAGCUCGCGGCCUAUCAGCUUGUUGGUGGGGUAAUGGCCUACCAAGGCGUCGACGGGUAGCCGGCCUGAGAGGGUGGACGGCCACAUUGGGACUGAGAUACGGCCCAGACUCCUACGGGAGGCAGCAGUGGGGAAUAUUGCACAAUGGGCGCAAGCCUGAUGCAGCGACGCCGCGUGGGUGAUGACGGCCUUCGGGUUGUAAACUCCUUUCGUUAGGGACGAAGCCGCACCUUUUUUGGGUGUGGUGACGGUACCUUUGUUAAGAAGCACCGGCUAACUACGUG